UUACAGACCUUUUCUUUGAACCAUGUUGGAAGAAAUAAAAAGUUUUUUUCCUUCAAGAAGAUGCAAGCACCUUAAGAGAAAAAUCCAACUAAUUAUCCAGAAAAGGCACAGUGCCCUGCAUUAUUGGGACAUUUUAUGCAAAUAGCAGUUAACCGUGUGAAACUGCUCCAUCGGUCUCUGUAACCCAGGCAAAGGCCCCUUGGAAGGAUUUCCAGCCCACUGCUGAGCCAGAAGCAUGGAUGUAUGAUGUGUCCACUCCCAGGUGAAAAUGAGCAGGCUUUGAACAGGCUGAGCUGUCAGUGGUGGCCCAGAUGGAAAAUGCAAAACAUCACCCAUAAAGUCUUCAGGAAAGGAACUCAUGGAUCUCCUUUUAAUUGUGAAGAGGUUCCCAGGCAUUUCUUCAUGGAUCACCUGCGUAGUCCAAGUCAUAGAUCAAGAAUCUACAGGAUUUAAAUGGCAAAUGUCAGCAUAUUUAUAAAUGGCUUUGGUAGAAUCAUAUUUUCAAACAUGCUUUUGCUCAUAAUUCUCUGUUAAGUGACAAGACCAUCACCUUCCUGUAAAUUAGUUCUUCCAGAACAUCUCAGUUUAGCCAGGUAACAACCACUGAAUGUUCACAAAACAUCCUUGGUGACUGACUUCUGAAGUAUACACCAAACAAGGAAGAGCAUCCAUGAUCCAUGGAGCCCCUGUAACCAGGCAAAUCUAUGGCAGCUACUAAGCACUUGAGAGAAACGUGGGAAAAUGUACCGUUGGGAAAGACAGAAGACGAAAGCCCAAUUCCAGGAUCCACUGGUUCAUGCAGCAACAUGCCUAGGCCUGACUUUGGUUGGUCUUUCUGUAUAAAGCAGAGCUGUGAAGAGGCCGGGAGUCCUCCCAAGGUUAGCAGGCUUCUGAGCUCCUGGAGGAAGGAGAAAAGGAGAACUAGGUCGCACUUGCUGUGCCUUGGUUGCCUGGAAUUGUUCUCCUGGUUGUGCUCAGGGAAAAGGACAACUUGACUUCAGUCUACUGGAAUGCACAUCAGCUGGGAGUGUCUGCUUGACCCUAAAAGGUUAUGUCAGAAACUUCCAAGCUGUGGAAUGUUGCUUGCUCUGUAGAAACACCAGAAGAUCUCACACCUGAAAGGACAACAUUCCAGACAAAAAUGUUCCAUAUCCUGGCCUUUAGAAAUGGGGACGCUGAUUUGCCGCAUGUGUUAAUGUGACUGUAGGAACACAGAUGGUUCUCAAGCUGCUGGACACGUCUGAUUUUAUUUGGUCAAAGUUAUAACCUUUGUGUUUCCUUACGAUAUUCUCUUGGGAAAGCUCUGGUGAUGGGUUCCUUUAGUGCUCCAACUGGAGUGAUCCUUCAAUUGCACUCAUUUGUGGCCACCUAGACUGCAAAAAAAAAAAAAGCGAAGAUCAGAUCUCAUUGACUAUUCCUGUUAUUGGAGAACUGGGGAGAGUUAUUAUCAGCAUGCCCAGAUUGUCUCAGGCUUCCCUGGUAGCUCAGAUGGUAAAGAAUCCGCUCACAAUGCAAGAGACCUUGGUUUGAUUCCUGGGUUGGGAAGAUCCCCUGGAGAAGGGAUAAGCUACCAACUCCAGUAUUCUUGGGCUUUCCUGGUGGCUCAGCUGAUAAAGAAUCUGCCUGCAUUGGGGGAGACCUGGAUUUGAUCCCUGGGUUGGGAAGAUCCCCUGGAGAAAGAAAAGGCUACCCACUCCAGCAUUCUGUCCUGGAGAAUUCAGGUCUGAAAGACUGAAUACAGGCCUGGAGGACAAUACAACCCAUGGGGUCACAAAGAGUUGCACACGACUGAGCGACUUUCACUUUCAGAUUGUCUCUGUCUAUCCUAAUCUUUUUUUCUUAGUGUUAUUACAGAGAUAAAAUUGAUAUAACAUUGUACAGCCAUAAACUGUACAACACGUGGACUUGAUACAUUUACAAAUAUUGCAGAGAGUUUACUACCAUAUUAUUAGCUAAACCUCUACCACGUCACAUAAUGAACAUUCUUAUUUGUGA
rnacentral:lncRNA from 1 species